rnacentral:rRNA from 1 species
UAUCCUGGCGUCUAGAUUGAACGCUGCGGCGACUGCUUUACUACAUAGCAAGUCGAACGGCGAGCGCGGGGCGAACCUGGCGGCGAGUGGCGAACGGUAGGAGUAAUAUAUCGGAACGUACCCAACGAGUGGGGAGUAACGUAGCGAAAGUUAACGCUAAUACCGCAUACGAUCUUAAGGAUGAAAGCAGGGGAUCUUCGGACCUUGUGCUCCUGGAGCGGCCGAUAUCUGAUUAGCUAGUUGGUGAGGUAAAGGCUCACCAAGGCCACGAUCAGUAGCUGGUCUGAGAGGACGACCAGCCACACUGGAACUGAGACACGGUCCAGACUCCUACGGGAGGCAGCAGUGGGGAAUUUUGGACAAUGGGCGAAAGCCUGAUCCAGCAAUGCCGCGUGAGUGAAGAAGGCCUUCAGGUUGUAAAGCUCUUUUGUCAGGGAAGAAACGGUGAAGGCUAAUAUCCUUCGCUAAUGACGGUACCUGAAGAAUAAGCACCGGCUAACUACGUG